GAAAAAUAUACGCCGAAUGCCGCGCCCUGUAAACCAACAGAAGCGGCAGCGGGAGAACCAAUUAUUGGGGUGAUUUGCCUUGGGAUACCGUGAGCAUCGCGUAUCCCGGCAAUAGGGAACCUUCUUUCCCGAACCCGUCAGCUAAUCUCGUAGGCGAAGGAAGGUUAAAUG
rnacentral:sRNA from 2 species